UACCUCGAGGUGUAGUAGUUAGCACUGUGGAUUUUCAAUCCAGCUACUAGAGUUCAAGUCUCUACAAGGUCU
rnacentral:tRNA from 1 species